rnacentral:pre_miRNA from 1 species
CGGGGGAGGUCGGAUCCUGGGCUGUGUCCCGGCGCCCUGUGCUCCGGAGCCUGCGCUGUUGGAUUCGCGCUCCCGCCCCGCAGCCCCCU